GACGAACGCUGGCGGCGUGCCUAAUACAUGCAAGUUGAGCGCUGAAGGUUGGUACUUGUACCAACUGGAUGAGCAGCGAACGGGUGAGUAACGCGUGGGGAAUUUGCCUUUGAGCGGGGGACAACAUUUGGAAACGAAUGCUAAUACCGCAUAAAAACUUUAAACACAAGUUUUAAGUUUGAAGGAUGCAAUUGCAUCACUCAAAGAUGAUCCCGCGUUGUAUUAGCUAGUUGGUGAGGUAAAGGCUCACCAAGGCGAUGAUACAUAGCCGACCUGAGAGGGUGAUCGGCCACAUUGGGACUGAGACACGGCCCAAACUCCUACGGGAGGCAGCAGUAGGGAAUCUUCGGCAAUGGACGAAAGUCUGACCGAGCAACGCCGCGUGAGUGAAGAAGGUUUUCGGAUCGUAAAACUCUGUUGGUAGAGAAGAACGUUGGUGAGAGUGGAAAGCUCAUCAAGUGACGGUAACUACCCAGAAAGGGACGGCUAACUACGUG
rnacentral:rRNA from 1 species